rnacentral:rRNA from 1 species
ACUCAAAUGAAUAGACGGGGGCCCGCACAAGCAGUGGAGUAUGUGGUUUAAUUCGACGCUACGCGCAGAACCUUACCAACCCUUGACAUGUGUACCGAGAGGAUCAGAAAUGGACCUCGCAUUUAGUUGGGUACAACACAGGUGCUGCAUGGCUGUCGUCAGCUCGUGUCGUGAGAUGUUGGGUUAAGUCCCGCAACGAGCGCAACCCUCACCUUUAGUUGCCAUCAUUCAGUUGGGCACUCUAAAGGAACUGCCGGUGUAAGCCGGAGGAAGGUGGGGAUGACGUCAAGUCCUCAUGGCCCUUACGGGUUGGGCUACACACGUACUACAAUGGCAAUUACAGCGGGAAGCAAGCGUGCGAGCGCAAGCGGAUCCCAAAAGGUUGCCUCAGUUCGGAUUGUUCUCUGCAACUCGAGAACAUGAAGUUGGAAUUGCUAGUAAUCGCGGAUCAGAAGGUCGCGGUGAAUACGUUCCCGGGCCUUGCACACACCGCCCGU